GACGAACGCUGGCGGCGCGCCUAACACAUGCAAGUCGAACGAGCGAGAGGGAGCUUGCUUUCUCGAGCGAGUGGCGAACGGGUGAGUAACGCGUGAGGAACCUGCCUCAAAGAGGGGGACAACAGUUGGAAACGACUGCUAAUACCGCAUAAGCCCACGGUGCCGCAUGGCACCGAGGGAAAAGGAGCAAUCCGCUUUGAGAUGGCCUCGCGUCCGAUUAGCUAGUUGGUGAGGUAAUGGCCCACCAAGGCGACGAUCGGUAGCCGGACUGAGAGGUUGAGCGGCCACAUUGGGACUGAGACACGGCCCAGACUCCUACGGGAGGCAGCAGUGGGGAAUAUUGCACAAUGGGGGAAACCCUGAUGCAGCGACGCCGCGUGGAGGAAGAAGGUCUUCGGAUUGUAAACUCCUGUUGUUGGGGAAGAUAAUGACGGUACCCAACAAGGAAGUGACGGCUAACUACGUG
rnacentral:rRNA from 1 species